AUAGCAAUUCCCUUUUUUCGGGUAGAAUGCCCGAUUUCCGUAUUAUUACAGGCUAAAUCACACACAUGCGACUUGAUAAAUUUAUCGCUCAGCAGCUUGGCGUCAGCCGCGCUA
rnacentral:sRNA from 1 species